GGCCUCCCUCUGUGGGGCGAUCGAUCGUGGAGCCCUCCCCCAUUGAUUGCCUUGCAGAGGGUGGCC
rnacentral:pre_miRNA from 1 species